rnacentral:rRNA from 1 species
UACGGAGGGGGCUAGCGUUGUUCGGAAUUACUGGGCGUAAAGCGCACGUAGGCGGCUUUGUAAGUUAGAGGUGAAAGCCCAGAGCUCAACUCUGGAAUUGCCUUUAAGACUGCAUCGCUAGAACGUCGGAGAGGUGAGUGGAAUUCCGAGUGUAGAGGUGAAAUUCGUAGAUAUUCGCAAGAACACCAGUGGCGAAGGCGGCUCACUGGCCCGGUACUGACGCUGAGGCACGAAAGCGUGGGGAGCAAACAGG